GAUUCUAUAGUGUAGCGGUCAUCACAUCUGCAUUACAGGCAGAAUGUCCUGGGAUCAACCCCCUGAGUGGAACCC